CUUGAUGCUCGGCACCAUCAAUGACUUUCCAGUUUCUUUGGCAGCGAGCUCUUUGUCACCACCUCCAAGUUUCAUGCCCCCUACACCACUGAUACUCUCGUCCGCGGAUUAUUCCUGGAGCUCACGGCCAUGGAUGCUCCCAGUCUUUCUCGUCGCGAUAGAUUUUUUUCUCAUCUAUCAGUUUUCCACUCGAUUCGAUGCAGCUGCGCAAGUAAAAAAGUGAUUUUGUUCUUUAUUAGUUCGUUGCCAUCAAGAGAAAGACUAACGGACUAAACAAAUGCAAGCUUUUGGUUUGUUUUCUUCGAUCGCCGCCCAUGGAUGACUAUCUGCCUUUGUUUAUCGAUUUCUCUCGUCUUUUGAUGUUGCACGAAGUGAAGGACUCCACAAAAGCUACGGAAACAAUGGCCCGCCACGAUACAAGAAAGGACUUUCCUGGAAUCAUUUUGGUAUGAACUCAAGGACACGGGAAUAUCUUACAGCUCGAGUAGCUUUUUCGUACUUUUUCCACUCCACAACGUUGAUUGAGAACCACCGGAUAUGCACUACAUUGCUUCAGAUAAAAGUGAUAAGAUCUGGUGUCCUUGGAAGAACAUCUUUGACUUCUCGAGAUUCCUGCCAGCAGACGGUCAGAAUCUCAAACAGUAGCGAUCCCAAAGUGCUAAAGACAUGGCAAACCUUGUAUAAAUUAUAAGCGGAGACCUCCACAGACGAUGUCAAGUAGCCAUGAAG
rnacentral:lncRNA from 1 species